rnacentral:rRNA from 1 species
AUUGAACGCUGGCGGCAUGCCUUACACAUGCAAGUCGAACGGUAACAGGUCUUCGGAUGCUGACGAGUGGCGAACGGGUGAGUAAUACAUCGGAACGUGCCCGAGAGUGGGGGAUAACGAGGCGAAAGCUUUGCUAAUACCGCAUACGAUCUCAGGAUGAAAGCAGGGGACCGCAAGGCCUUGCGCUCACGGAGCGGCCGAUGGCAGAUUAGGUAGUUGGUGGGGUAAAAGCUUACCAAGCCGACGAUCUGUAGCUGGUCUGAGAGGACGACCAGCCACACUGGGACUGAGACACGGCCCAGACUCCGACGGGAGGCAGCAGUGGGGAAUUUUGGACAAUGGGCGCAAGCCUGAUCCAGCCAUGCCGCGUGCAGGAUGAAGGCCUUCGGGUUGUAAACUGCUUUUGUACGGAACGAAAAGACUCUGGUUAAUACCUGGGGUCCAUGACGGUACCGUAAGAAUAAGCACCGGCUAACUACGUGCCAGCCGCCGCAGUAAAAC